rnacentral:lncRNA from 1 species
AAGAACAUAAGGUUUGCGUCGGCACAAGUUAAGUUGAAGAACUGAUGAUUAGUUAGAAGCUGAUACUUGGAAAGUUAAGUUAUUUAUUCUUUAGCUAAAUAUAACUUUUCAAUUUCCUUAUUAUGUUCAUUAUCUUAAUAUCUUUUUCUAAGGUUAGUAGCUCUACCUCAUCUCUAAAUAAUUUCAUGAUAGGGUUAGUAGCUAAUCUUUAAUGUUAUUAAGUUGCAUGGUGGAGUCACUUCAAAAUAUCAUGUUUGGUUUAUUUAAUAUUUUUGUUUGAAUAACUUUGUUUGAUGUUUUAAUUGAAUUUUUGUAAUAUAGUGUAAUGAUUGUUAAUUAGAAAUAGAAAUUUUAUAAACUCUAAUUUGUUAAAAUGUUAUGUGCUUGAAGGUUGGAGCUUGAAGAACAUAAGGUUUGCGUCGACAUAAGUUAAGUUGAAAAACUUAUGAUCAGUUAGA